rnacentral:rRNA from 1 species
UACGUAGGGGGCAAGCGUUGUCCGGAAUCAUUGGGCGUAAAGCGCGUGUAGGCGGCCCGGUAAGUCCGCUGUGAAAGUCCAGGCUCAACCCUGGGAUGCCGGUGGAUACUGUCGGGCUCGAGUCCGGAAGAGGAGUGUGGAAUUCCUGGUGUAGCGGUGAAAUGCGCAGAUAUCAGGAGGAACACCGAUGGCGAAGGCAGCACUCUGGGACGUGACUGACGCUGAGACGCGAAAGCGUGGGGAGCAAACAGG